rnacentral:rRNA from 1 species
GACGAACGCUGGCGGCGUGCUUAACACAUGCAAGUCGAACGGAAAGGCCCUGCUUUUGUGUGGUGCUCGAGUGGCGAACGGGUGAGUAACACGUGAGUAACCUGCCCUUGACUUUGGGAUAACUUCAGGAAACUGGGGCUAAUACCGGAUAGGAGCUCCUGCUGCAUGGUGGGGGUUGGAAAGUUUCGGCGGUUGGGGAUGGACUCGCGGCUUAUCAGCUUGUUGGUGGGGUAGUGGCUUACCAAGGCUUUGACGGGUAGCCGGCCUGAGAGGGUGACCGGCCACAUUGGGACUGAGAUACGGCCCAGACUCCUACGGGAGGCAGCAGUGGGGAAUAUUGCACAAUGGGCGGAAGCCUGAUGCAGCAACGCCGCGUGCGGGAUGACGGCCUUCGGGUUGUAAACCGCUUUCGCCUGUGACGAAGCGUGAGUGACGGUAAUGGGUAAAGAAGCACCGGCUAACUACGU